AUUUUUAUCAUCGAUCGAGUUCAAUCUGUUUUUUUUUUCUCUCUUUCUCUCGCAAUAGAAGUCCCGAAUCGACUUUGGAAGAAGAUGGAAUCGAAUGAUAUAUAAUCAGAGGAGGUUGGGGUCUGAGGUGAUGCGUAGCGGAGGAGAUUGAAUCGGCGGAGGUGAUGCGUAGCGAAGGAGAUUUCGCGAUUAGUUACUUGCUACUGGUGGAUUAGAUGGUGUUGUUCAGAUCUUUGAUGCUUCAUCAGGAGAUUUUAAAUGUGUUUUGGACGGUCCCGGUGGUGGAAUCGAAUCGAGGGAUUUGAGUGACAAUGAGCUCGUUGGUCCUAUCCCACCUAUACUUGGCAAUCUCUCAUUUACCGGAAAGUUGUAUCUCCAUGGAAAUAAGCUCACUGGUCCAAUCAUAUGUCACGUCUCAGCUAUUUGCAACUAAACGACAACAAACUGGUGGGAACUAUCCCACCUGAGCUUGGGAAGCUAGAGCAAUUGUUUUGGCUGUUUUACUUGCAGUGAUGUAUCAUUCAAUCUGCUCUCCCGAGUUAUUCCCUCUAAGUUGGCCAACUACAGAGUCUAAACUCUUUAAUAUUGAACAACAACAAGCUCCAUGGGAAAAUUCCAGAACAGUUUUUGUAACAACAACAAGCUUCAUGUUUAUUUUUAUGUUAAGAGACUCAAAAUAAGAACCCACCAUUGGAGGGAAAAAUUGUAAUUAUGCUUACCAAAGUUCUUAUUCAACUAAAAGUACAUCUUAUAUUAA